rnacentral:rRNA from 1 species
UACAGAGGUCCCGAGCGUUGUUCGGAUUCAUUGGGCGUAAAGGGUGCGUAGGCGGCGGGGCCAGUCUGAUGUGAAAUCCCCGGGCUCAACCCGGGAACUGCAUUGGAUACUGCCUUGCUAGAGUACUGGAGAGGGAACUGGAAUUUACGGUGUAGCAGUGAAAUGCGUAGAGAUCGUAAGGAAGGCCAGUGGCGAAGGCGAGUUCCUGGACAGUGACUGACGCUGAGGCACGAAGGCCAGGGGAGCAAACGGG